GAAAAUACAUCAAUAAUUCUCCUCUACAUUUUUUUUCCUUUCUUUUUCUUCUCUUUUUCUUUCCAUUAAUUUUGUUCCCCACUCCAUCAACUCCACUACCCUAUGCUCCCCACCAUCUCCACUACCUUUGCUCCCCAUCAACUCCAACACUUCACCCAUUCCUUCCAUUUCGCACCAGCAAUCACAAAGAGAAGGAAGACUUGGCUUAACUACUUUGCCAAGAUUUCAAGCUGCUCCAGUCCAGUAGUACCCCAACACUCGAAGCUAGAGUUUAUUGGGUGAAAAACCGUGCAUGAGGUCGAGCGCAAGAAUAAGAGCUCGUCAAGGAGUCACUAAUCUGUAGCAAAGCUUUGCUAUCAGGUUGAGCAGCUGCCGAUGGUGAUGAAGUGACGAGCGGGACUCUUUUGUCUUAUUAUGUAUUAAUGAACUCUAGGGUUACAUGUCUUCAUACAUGUAAUCAGAACCUUAUUCCGCUGCGUACUCAGAAGUUUUAUGUUAUUUUGGAUAAGUCGGAGUUAUCCGAACUUGUUAGUUAUUUGAGUCUAUACGACAAAAACUCUGUUAUAUUAUAGAUAUCUAUGUUGUUAACAAUGAUGAAA